UACAUGGGGUGCAAACGUUGCUCGGAAUUAUUGGGCGUAAAGCGCGCGUAGGCGGUUACUUAAGUCGGAUGUGAAAGCCCUCGGCUUAACUGAGGAAGUGCAUCCGAAACUGAGUAGCUAGAGUACGAAAGAGGGUCGCGGAAUUCCCGGUGUAGAGGUGAAAUUCGAUAGAUAUCGGGAAGAACACCCGGUGGCGAAGGCGGCCCUCUGGAACGCAACUGACGCUGAGACGCGAAAGCGUGGGGAG
rnacentral:rRNA from 1 species